CUUGACACAGUAAGUGUUUAAGAACUGGUAGCUGAUUUUUACAAAGUUAUGGGUCAUAGAAGGCAGUUUAGAGAAAAGGGCAGGCUUUGGAGUAGCUCAGUUGUAUUAUAACCUUGGCUUCUUUACUCACCUAGGACAUACAUUCUCUCUUUAGCUGUAGCUUCCUCCCUUCUGAGAUGGAAAUUAUAAGCCAUCUCACAGUGUUGUGAGGAUUGGAGCUCAAGUGUGUAAAAUGCCUCCUCUGUGGGCUCUCCUUGGAGAGUUCUUGUAUCCUAUUGAUUGUCAUCAAAGGAAAAAAGUGGCAGGAUGAUGGCAUAAGUGGGAAGAACCUUGAGUUUAAUAGUCUGAAAAAGUGGUUACAGGUUCUUGCUAUGCUUUUCCUCUCUGUGGUUUUCUGAACCCAUCGCCUAACCUGAAGCCUUAAACUUCAUCUGCAAAAAUGUUUUGUGGCAGGUGACUCUGAAGCAGAACUCUUGAGAUGGAAGGAUUGUCAUCUGAGGAAAAAAAAUCAAGAUUAAGAGAGGAGGAACUAGAAUGAGAUUCACAUACCGUCUCUCCUCCAAGGGAAGGAGAGAGUGGUGAUGCCUGCCCACUCCUUCCUGGGCAGAACAUUUGUAGCAUGGAACAUUGGAGAAUUUGCAGUCUGCUGACUUUCUGAUUUAGGAGGUUGAUGGGGAGGCCUUAUAAUUUGCAUUUCUAACAAGUUCUGAGGUGAUGCUUCAAGUAUGUCCAGGCAGAAGGGCUGCCUCACAGAGAAUUCUGCCAUACCACAUGGGAAUUGAAGUCACAGACAUCUCUAACCCUCAAGCCUGAAACCAAAAGACUGAAAACCAACACUACAGUGGACAAAGAACAUCUCUGAACUUGUGUGGGGACCAGUGACACAAGGACCUAAGGUCUCUCUCUUCUCAUCUUGGCACUUCAGAAGUCUCCCCAAUCUUGACAAAGCCCUGGAGAAAGGGCCGGGCCUCCCGUUGAUAAGAAUAUCACUGCAGAUAAAUGGAGGUUUCAAAUUGAAAGAAAGGAGGAGGGCCUCCUGUUGAUAAGAUUAUUGUCACUGCAGGUAAAUGGAGGCUUCAAAUAGAAAUACAUUUCAGUUACAGAAAAAAAAAUUAUCUUUGUUACACAUUUGAGUUUGCAGGCCUAAGGUUACUCCCGCUACACUAUCAUCUGUAACCAUAACGCACUCAACAUUUUAAGCUAACUAUAAGGAUUGUUGCUUCACUCAAAGAUCCUGAGGUUUUAUUCACUAACAUUUUUAUUUGGUGACUAUAGUUGACAAGAACAAAGCUGUGGGGAACCAACAAACACUGCAAUGCCUGGCAUUGUCACCUCACUAGAUUGUGAGUUCCUCUGGGACAGGGUCCGUACAUUUUCUUAGAAUCCCUCACUUAGCCAUUAGCCUGCACAGUGCUUGUACUUAGUAAGUGCUCAGUAAAUGUUUGUGGAAUGAAUGCAUGAUGAACAAAAUAUAUACUGAGGACUCUUGGUGUUGAUUCUUGUUGAUAAUGUAAUAGUUAAGAUAUGUUAUAAAUAUGUUAUAAAUAUUGUAUCAAAAUAUUGUAUCAAAAAUAUACUUGAACAGGCU
rnacentral:lncRNA from 1 species